GGGAUUGGAACUAAUUAACCGAUGAGCCACUAAAAAUAGGUUAUUCGAGCAAGUCUAGUCACAAGAGCCAAUAGAGACAAGGAAAGGGGCGAUAUUGAUAAGAAAUUAGACAGAGUUGAGGAAGGCGAUAGAGGGACAUGGCGAGGUCUCAUAUGCGAUGACGACAAGGAAGGAGAUUGUAGAAAGUUGGUAUAAAAAUCAUGAUGGCGGGUGAUGGGGCUAGGAUGUGUGGGGUGAUAGUAGGAGUGACAAAGGCAAAAAAAAAGUAUUGUCAGAAGAAAUUCAGGCUUGGGGAUCCCACAUCACUCAAGUGAUAUAUGUAGAUUGACCCAUACUUAAUUUAUCUUCUAAUAUGAAGAGAGUAGGAGCAAUACAUACCUAGAUAUAUCAAUCCUACCUUUUAUUUAUUAGUUCAAUAACUUUAGUUAGCACCAUGUCAUAUUGGUGCACGGGAGCACAACCCGCGCCCAUGGGUCAACCCAGCGCACAAGCAUAGGCUAUAUCAACUCUUGUUUUUUGAGAGGAUCAACUCUUGUUUUGACGUGAGCUGAGAUAGGAACAACAUAAUACAUAUUAGAAGAAGUAAUAAGCCUAGAGUACGAUGCACGACAUCACAAAAUUCUUGCCAUCUAAUUUACAUUAACGUUCGCUACUCCCGUAUCUAAUUAUUUCUAUUUUUAAUUCCAUAUGUACAAUUUUUAUCCUUAGGGGUGAGUUACAAAACACAACACAUUGCAUAUGUUUUGAAUUUAAUACUAUGUAAUGAAAAGUGUGUGCAAUGGUGCUUGAAACUUAUGUGUAAACUUGCUAACAUUUUUUUACAUAGGUUGUUAACAGGCAUGCAACAUAAUAAGAUGCUACAAAAUCUUUAUGUGAAUUGUUUUCUUACAUACAACAUCAUAAGAUGGGGGCAUUUAUUGCCUUAUCUUCUCUUUC
rnacentral:lncRNA from 1 species